rnacentral:lncRNA from 1 species
GUGAGGAUAGUGGCAGAGAGAUAGGAGAAUGGAUUCAAAAUAUUGAGGAAAUGUCAUCAGCAGGAUUUUGUGUCUGAUCAGAAUGGGGUGGGGGAGGGAGUGAUUGGGUCCGUUCUGUGCUAAGUCACCCUGUUUCACUUUUCACCGACUGUAGGUUUUUGCCUUGCCUGCUCACAUCCUUGUCUCUGCCCUCAGGAAUCUUCCACUUGACUCAGAUCAAGAAAGUCAGGAAGCAAGACUUCCAGAAAGAGGCACAGCACUUCCGACUGCUCGCUGGCCCCCACGAAGGUCACUGGAACGUCUUCCUAGCCCAGACCCUGGAGCUGAAGGUCACGGCCAGUCCAGACAAAGUGACCAAGACAUAACAAAGACCUAACAGUUGCAGAUAUGAGCUGUAUAAUUGUUGUUAUUAUAUAUUAAUAAAUAAGAAGUUGCAUUACCCUCAGCCCUGCCUUCUGGGUUCAUAUCCAGUCUCCUGCAUGCUCUCCUAGCAACUCCACAAGGCAGACCUGGUUAUCCCCAUUUUACAGGGGUGGAAACCAAGAUCCAGAAGGGAUAGAGAAUGGUCCCAGUCCUCACAGUGAGUUGUCACCACAGCCAGGGCUAGCUCCCCCAGCCUCCUCACCCAGGCCCCCCACUGCAGCACCUCCUGCUUUUCCGGGCAGCCCCCCUCCCACAGCUCUUUGACACUGAGCCUCAGAAAGAGGAAUGACUCUAAUUAGCCAGGGGAGGGCGUUAAUGGAGCCUUAAAGCACUUUCCCAGCAAGUAUUCCUGGGAUCCUCACCACUGUCUUCACACCCUACAAUGAGGAAACCCAGUUAGGGAGGAGCAGCAGGCAGUCAUUUGCCCAAAGCCGCAGAGCUGCUUAGUAGCAGAUCUGGAGUUGGAAGCCAGAUCUCUCGCUCCAGGCUAGCACUCCUUCCCCAGUUCCACAGUGUGGCCAGUGUCACGAGCCCAGAUAGCCUCACCUCAGAGGAUUUCCAAGACUGGGCGGUCAGAUUGCUAACCUGGCACCAUGCUCUGAGAAGGCCCAACAGUUAGCAAUUAAAGACACCAUUAGGGCCAGGCACGGUGGCUGACGCCUACAAUCCCAGCACUUUGGGAGGCCGAGGGGGGUGGAUCGUCUGAGGCCAGGAGUUCGAGACCAGCCUGGCCAACAUAGUGAAACCCCAUUUCUACUAAAAAUACAAAAAAUUAGCCAGGCAUGGUGGUACACACCUGUAAUUCCAGCUACUCGGGAAGUUGAGGCACGAGGAUUGCUUGAACCCAGGAGGCAGAGGU